GACGAACGCUGGCGGCGUGCUUAACACAUGCAAGUCGAACGGAAAGGCCCUGCUUUUGUGGGGUGCUCGAGUGGCGAACGGGUGAGUAACACGUGAGUAACCUGCCCUUGACUUUGGGAUAACUUCAGGAAACUGGGGCUAAUACCGGAUAGGAGCUCCUGCUGCAUGGUGGGGGUUGGAAAGUUUCGGCGGUUGGGGAUGGACUCGCGGCUUAUCAGCUUGUUGGUGGGGUAGUGGCUUACCAAGGCUUUGACGGGUAGCCGGCCUGAGAGGGUGACCGGCCACAUUGGGACUGAGAUACGGCCCAGACUCCUACGGGAGGCAGCAGUGGGGAAUAGUGCACAAUGGGCGGAGGCCUGAUGCAGCAACGCCGCGUGCGGGAUGACGGCCUUCGGGUUGUAAACCGCUUUCGCCUGUGACGAAGCGUGAGUGACGGUAAUGGGUAAAGAAGCACCGGCUAACUACGUG
rnacentral:rRNA from 1 species